CGCAAGGGCCAGUUAGUUUCAGUUCAUCAUGUAUUGAAUACAGAUUACAGUUCAUGUUUCCAGUGUUUUAUCCGGGAAUUUAUUUGUUUUGAAGUCACUUGAUCUUCUAUUAUCAAUGAGACGUAUGUCGCGUCAUGCUUUGGAAGGGCGCACAAUCACGAGUAUCAUGGGGAAGCUGGUGACCCUUCGUUGCCAUAUACUUUUCGUGGGAAAGAGUUCAACGCAAGGACGACCAUGAGAUAGAGAAAAAACCAUUCAAGGACCUUCUCAUAACUAAAGUUAUGAUUGACAUGGAGAAAAGAAGAAGAAACAGUCGUCUGCUGAAGUCAAUGAAGACGAGACACUUGAAAAUUUUAAUUUGGAGCUCCAGCAAUAAAAUACAAUUCGUCGCAUUACUAUGUUAAUUAUGAAUGUUAAAGUAAAGGAUUUAUUCAUCAAUUUUGAAGUUAUGUAAUUUUUUCACAUCCAGCUGAAUAUACUAUUUAUUCUAUAAAGUAGAUUAUAUGUCAAUGAUUUUGAAUCAUUCUGAAGAACUUAUUCAAUCAUUUCUAAAGUGAUUUAAAGU